rnacentral:rRNA from 1 species
UACGUAGGGGGCUAGCGUUGUCCGGAAUCAUUGGGCGUAAAGCGCGUGUAGGCGGUCCGGUAAGUCCGCUGUGAAAGUCGAGGGCUCAACCCUCGAAUGCCGGUGGAUACUGUCGGGCUAGAGUACGGAAGAGGCGAGUGGAAUUCCUGGUGUAGCGGUGAAAUGCGCAGAUAUCAGGAGGAACACCAAUGGCGAAAGCAGCUCUCUGGGACGGUACUGACGCUGAGACGCGAAAGCGUGGGGAGCAAACAGG